AUUAACAAUCUCUUUAUUAGAUAUAAGAGACAAGAAGCCCCAGGUGAACUGGUUACAAUUCUUUUGUCAGCUGCUUAGUAUCUAACACUCAGGUUCUAUCGUCUCUCCAUCCUUUUAUUAUUAGUUGUUACUGAAAGCCUAGUGCCAUUUAGAGGAUGGGUCUCUUGAGUGAUAAAGCCACUGAGCUGGCACUAAAGGAAGGUACUCCUUAAGAGAAAAUCUAAGUCCAGAGAGACAACCGGUAACAGAUAGACUGCCCCUCUGCUCACUUUUCUGUUUCACAGACACAAGGUCUUUUUGUCCCAAGAAAGCCUCCUGGCUUAGCUGUGUGACUAAAUGCUAUUUGCCCUCUUCAGUGGACCUCUAUUCUCAAGAUUCUCUUGUUUUCUCACCAUCCCAUUUGAGAUGCUUGUUAGUAACUGUUACAGGUCUUCUUUACCACCGAGGAAAGACAAAAUCCUACUAGAGGCCAGAAAAAGUGUUCCAGAGAUGGAUGGAAGGCCCUCACUUCUGCCUGCUCUUUUCAGACGCCUAAAGAUGGGAACAGUUCUCUUCAUGAAUGAAGGUCAGAGACAAGUGGGUGCUGCCAUGGUGGACAACACAAUGUCAUCUAGAAUGGCUGAACCUCUACCCCCCCCAGCACAUCAGCGCCACAGAUGCCUUUGCCAUCUCUUAGAUGCCCGGAUGAAGCCAACAACUGUGAGUACUAUUCAUUGCCCAGGAAAACAGGAGGGAAGAGAUUCAGUGACAUGGGGCAGUGACAAAACAGAUAAAGUGGCUCGGGAAAUGGCUAUACAGGAGCCUAUCCUGGUUACAGG
rnacentral:lncRNA from 1 species